AACGAACGCUGGCGGCAGGCUUAACACAUGCAAGUCGAGCGCCCACUUCGGUGGGAGCGGCAGACGGGUGAGUAACACGUGGGAAUCUACCCAUCUCUACGGAACAACUCCGGGAAACUGGAGCUAAUACCGUAUACGCCCUUUGGGGGAAAGAUUUAUCGGAGAUGGAUGAGCCCGCGUUGGAUUAGCUAGUUGGUGGGGUAAAGGCCUACCAAGGCGACGAUCCAUAGCUGGUCUGAGAGGAUGAUCAGCCACACUGGGACUGAGACACGGCCCAGACUCCUACGGGAGGCAGCAGUGGGGAAUAUUGGACAAUGGGCGCAAGCCUGAUCCAGCCAUGCCGCGUGAGUGAUGAAGGCCCUAGGGUUGUAAAGCUCUUUCACCGGUGAAGAUAAUGACGGUAACCGGAGAAGAAGCCCCGGCUAACUUCGUGCCAGCCGCCGCAGUAACAC
rnacentral:rRNA from 1 species